AGCAGGCGCGUAAAUUGCCCGAAUCCUGACACAGGGAGGUAGUGACAAGAAAUAACAAUACAGGGCUUUCUAAGUCUUGUAAUUGGAAUGAGUACAAUUUACAUCUCUUCACGAGGAUCAAUUGGAGGGCAAGUCUGGUGCCAGCAGCCGCGGUAAUUCCAGCUCCAAUAGCGUAUAUUAAAGUUGUUGCAGUUAGAACGCUCGUAGUCGGAUUUCGGGGCGUUCCGACCGGUCUGCCGAUGGGUAUGCACUGGCCGGAGUGUCCUUUUUGCCGGAGACCGUGCCUACUCUUAACUGAGCGGGGGCGGGAGACGGCACUUUUACUUUGAAAAAAUCAGAGUGUUUCAAGCAGGCAGCUCGCUCUUGCAUGGAUUAGCAUGGGAUAAUGAAAUAGGACUUUGGUGCUAUUUUGUUGGUUUCGAACACCGAAGUAAUGAUGAGAAGGGACAGUCAGGGGCACUCGUAUUCCGCCGAGAGAGGUGAAAUUCUCAGACCAGCGGAAGACGAACCACUGCGAAAGCAUUUGCCAGGGAUGUUUUCACUGAUCAAGAACGAAAGUUAGGGGAUCGAAGACGAUCAGAUACCGUCGUAGUCUUAACCAUAAACCAUGCCGACUAGGGAUUGGGGGAUGUUCACUGAUUGACUUCCUCAGCACCUUACGGGAAACUAAAGUCUUUGGGUUCCGGGGGGAGUAUGGUCGCAAGGCUGAAACUUAAAGGAAUUGACGGAAGGGCACCACCAGGAGUGGAGCCUGCGGCUUAAUUUGACUCAACACGGGGAAACUUACCAGGUCCAGACAUUGUGAGGAUUGACAGAUUGAGAGCUCUUUCUUGAUUCGAUGGGUGGUGGUGCAUGGCCGUUCUUAGUUGGUGGAGUGAUUUGUCUGGUUAAUUCCGUUAACGAACGAGACCUUAGCCUGCUAAAUAGUGACGUGAACACUUCGUUCGCGGGCCACUUCUUAGAGGGACAACUUGUCUUCAACAAGUGGAAGUUUGAGGCAAUAACAGGUCUGUGACGCCCUUAGAUGCUCUGGGCCGCACGCGCGCUACACUGAUGCACUCAACGAGUCUCCACCUUCACUGAAAAGUGCGGGAAACCUUCGAACUUGCAUCGUGAUGGGGAUAGAUUAUUGCAACUAUUAAUCUUCAACGAGGAAUACCUAGUAAGCGCAUGUCAUCAGCGCACGUUGA
rnacentral:rRNA from 1 species